rnacentral:rRNA from 1 species
AUUGAACGCUGGCGGAAUGCUUUACACAUGCAAGUCGAGCGGCAGCACGGGGGCAACCCUGGUGGCGAGCGGCGAACGGGUGAGUAAUACAUCGGAACAUGCCCAGUCGUGGGGGAUAACACUUCGAAAGAAGUGCUAAUACCGCAUACGUCCUGAGGGGGAAAGCGGGGGAUCGCAAGACCUCGCGCGAUUGGAGUGGCCGAUGUCAGAUUAGCUAGUUGGUGGGGUAAAGGCCUACCAAGGCAACGAUCUGUAGCUGGUCUGAGAGGAUGAUCAGCCAAACUGGGACCGAGACACGGCCCAGACUCCCACGGGAGGCAGCAGUGGGGAAUUUUGGACAAUGGGGGCAACCCUGAUCCAGCCAUUCCGCGUGAGUGAAGAAGGCCUUCGGGUUGUAAAGCUCUUUCGGCAGGAACGAAACGGUGAGCUCUAACAUAGCUUGCUAAUGACGGUACCUGAAGAAGAAGCACCGGCUAACUACGUG